GUGCCAGCAGCCGCGGUAAUACAGGGGGUGCGAGCGUUGCUCGGAAUCACUGGGCGUAAAGCGUACGCAGGCCGCUGCGCAAGUCGGGUGUGAAAGCCCGGGGCUCAACCCCGGAAUUGCGCCCGAAACUGCGCGGCUUGAAUGCGGGAGAGGGGAGCGGAAUUCCUGGUGUAGAGGUGAAAUUCGUAGAUAUCAGGAGGAACACCAGUGGCGAAAGCGGCUCCCUGGCCCGACAUUGACGCUCAUGUACGAAAGCGCGGGGAGCAAACAGGAUUAGAUACCCUGGUAGUCCGCGCCGUAAACGAUGAAUGCUAGCUGCUGGGAAUGUUUACCGUCUCAGUGGCGAAGCCAACGCAUUAAGCAUUCCGCCUGGGAAGUACGGCCGCAAGGCUAAA
rnacentral:rRNA from 1 species